ACAGCAAUUCCUAUAGAGGACAGGCUCGAUGUAACGAAUAAUGAAAAGUCAUUCUUGAAUAUAAGUAAACCAAGACCGUCUUUUAUAUAAGGUACAUCAAAGGGGAAUUAUACUUUCAUUUUGGGUUUCUACAAAGAUAAUGGUAAGAAUUAGCUUAAAUCGUUAAAGUUAAAAACGUGCUUCGGGUGGCCUCUUGCAGAUCAACAUUUUAUUUCAAUUUUUAUGGAAAGAAUGGAAAUCAUAAGGUUUAUUGCAGUAAAAUCAUUUAAUAAAUCUGAAACAAGAAAAGAAAAUGGUUAAAUAAUUUAAUUUUGAUAUAAAAAAAAAUGUAAAAUAUUGAAUGAAAAAAAGAUAUAUAAUAAAUGAAGGAAAAUAUUUUAAACAGAAAAAAUUAAAUAUGUUUAUAAAUAAUAACUUUAAUGUGGAACCAUGAAGCUUUCUUUUUUUUUAAAUAAAUUGAAAAUUUUUCAAAGUCGUGAAUUAUAACAUCAUUAUUAUUUGAUGAUGUAUAGAUGUUGCAUAUAUACUUUUGGAAAUAUAAGAAAAACAUGUUUAUGAGAAACAGAACAAAAUAUUAGAGGUGAUCCCAAUAAAAGUUUUUUAUUUGGAAUCUAUACAAAUUUAUUUUUAAAAUUAUUGUAUGAUAUGUUCUAUAUGAUUAAUUUUAAAUAUAUAAUUUUAUAACUUAAGAAUUUUAAUUUUAUUUCUAUAUAUUAAAUAAAUUUUAUUAUUUUAUUUUAUUAAUAAUAUAUAUAUAAUUAUGUAUUAAGCUUUUUUUUAUUAUAUUGUAUGUUUUUAUUUCUUGCAGUAUGUAAAAAUGAUAUGAUAAAAAGAAAUAAAUAAAAAGACCUAUAAAAAAAA